rnacentral:rRNA from 1 species
AAAUGUUAGCAACGGGAAUGAAAAAUGUGAUAUAUCUCUUCUCCUCCAACUGGUAGGAAAAAAAGUUGGAGGAAAGAGAUUAUUUAUAUAGUAAUAAAUAUUUAUAUCAAAAGUUCUUUAUGUUAAAAAGUUAACAUCUUUUUUUAUAGAAGAUAGAUUUAUUAUUUUUAUUUAAUAAAAAUAGGUUUUUGUUAAGUUCUGGCGAAGCCUGUGCCAGCCGCCGCGGUUAUACAGGCAGAAGAUAAUUUUUCGAUGAAUGAAAUUUUUAUGAGGUUAUAUUAAAAUUAAUUAGGUGAAAUUAUUAAUUUGUUUUUGUUUAUAAGAUUUUUGAAAUUUAUUUUUAAAAAUAGGAUUAGAUACCCUAUUAUUAUAAAAUGUUAGGUUGGUAGUAAUUUAUGAUAAAUAAAAUUUAAAGCUUGUGGCGGUAUCUUAAGCUUUUUAGAGGAAUUUAUUCUUUAAUUGAUAUAACUCAAAUAUCUUUCUUAAUUUUGUUAGGUCAGUUUGUAUAUCGCUAUCAUUAUAUGAUGUUAUUAGGCAAUCGUAAAUAUAGAAUUUUUCUAAAAUGUUAGGUCAAAAUGCAGCAAAAGAUUAAGUUUGAAAUAAAUUACGCUAAUUUUUAUUGUGUCGUGCGGGAAGAAAAUAAUUAGGAUUUAAUAGUAAAUUUUGAUUAUAAUGUUAAGUUGAAAGAAGCUCUGAGAUAUGCACAUAUCGCCCGUCGCUCUCUUGUUUUAUGAGAUAAGUCGUAACAAAGUAAAAGUACUGGAAAGUGUUUUU